UAUUAGAUUAGUGGAAAGGUAACUGUGGUUUUUGCCAUUAAAAGUGAUGGCAAAAACUGUAAUUACUUUUGUACCAACCUAAUAG
ensembl:miRNA